GCAAUGAUGAUCCUUAAUGAUUUUGAUCAGUAAUGAAAAUGUGCAAUCAAUUUCUCUAAGAAGUUCUGAGCUU
rnacentral:snoRNA from 1 species